UACAGAGGUGGCAAGCGUUGUUCGGAAUUACUGGGCGUAAAGGGCGCGUAGGCGGUUCGUUAAGUCCUGUGUGAAAGCCCCCGGCUCAACUGGGGAGGGUCAUUCGAUACUGUUCGACUCGAAGGCAGGAGAGGGAAGUGGAAUUCCCGGUGUAGUGGUGAAAUGCGUAGAUAUCGGGAGGAACACCAGUGGCGAAGGCGACUACCUGGCCUGUUCUUGACGCUGAGGCGCGAAAGCUAGGGGAGCAAACGGG
rnacentral:rRNA from 1 species